UCAGUAAAUAAAUAUACUUCCCGUAUGUU
rnacentral:piRNA from 1 species